UACGUAGGGGGCAAGCGUUGUCCGGAUUUAUUGGGCGUAAAGAGCGUGUAGGCGGUUUGGUAGGUCCGUUGUGAAAACUCGAGGCUCAACCUUGAGACGCCGAUGGAAACCAUCAGACUAGAGUCCGGAAGAAGAGAGUGGAAUUCCUGGUGUAGCGGUGAAAUGCGCAGAUAUCAGGAAGAACACCCGUGGCUAAGGCGGCUCUCUAGUACGGUACUGACGCUGAGACGCGAAAGCGUGGGGAGCGAACAGG
rnacentral:rRNA from 1 species